AGAACUAAAGCACCUUGCAAGGAAUGAAGUUGGUUCUUGAAGUCCGUGCUGACUGGCUGGGCGCAUUUGCGCAUUUGCUUCUCUGGCUGCAAAAUGGCCCGCAACAGCACUCACUAAUUUGUUGCUAACUUCAGGAACUGUGCGGACAGGUCUCUGAGGCUUCUGAGCCGCGCUAUGUCCAGUAGAUCUGGGCGCCUCAGAACCUGUCACAGCCGACGGAAGCGUUUAUCUGAGUUUCUUGUUUCUUCCCAACCUUUUGAUUUUCGCACCAUUACGCGCUCAACUAUGCCUCUUCUUUUGUCCUAUGGUCUCAACUAAUUAAAGGAAGAAAAGCAAUGCAUGUGUGUGUGUAAUUUUAAAGAAACUAUGCUGUCUUAUAGAAAACCAAACCAUCAUUUUUAUCUUUUGUACCAGGUAUUCAAGUAUGUUUUGAGCACCGACGGGCUGUGAACUGGACUGUGCUGAAAGCUCCUCUCCCUCUUCUCUCUUUAAGCCCUUUAUAUUUGACAUCAGCUUCCCCCACAUUCUCCAAAGCUUCUCUCACAAAUAAAGGCGGGGCGUGGUGGCUCACGCCUGUAAUCCCAGCACUUUGGGAGGCCAAGGCAGAUGGAUCACUUGAGAUCAGGAGUUCGAGACCAGCCUGGCCAAUACGGUGAAACCCCUUCUCUACUAAAAAUACAAAAAUCAGCCGGGCAUGGUGGCACACGCCUGUAAUCGCAGCUACUCGGGAGGCUGAGGCAGGAGAAUCGCUUGAACCCGGGAGGCGGAGGUUGCCGUGAGCCGAGAUCACGCCACUGCACUCCAGCCUGGACGACAGAGCAAGGCUUGGUCUCAAAACAAACAAAAAACAAAAUAAGUGAGAGAGGAAACUUUACUUGUUCUUUUUCUUUUAGUUUAGUAAAUGCUGCAAUUUGAUUUUAACGAAUGUUGGUCUUUUUAUGGGCCUAUAUAAGUGUAUUAUUUUUGAAACAAAAAAUGAAAAUUACCUAUUUAGUAUGAAACCUUUGCUUAUCUUUUGCUGUGUAUUUGCUCAAUUCUGAAUUGAACUUGAGAUUGUCACACACAGAUUGCAUUUUCAACUGAAAUGAGAUGAUUUUUGUCUUUACUCUUAAAACUUAGUGAGAAAAAGCUUGCUUGAACAAGAAGUUUUAAAGUAUGUCAAAAUGUUUAUUACUUUCUUAAAAAUGUCAAGCUGCUCUUCUUUCUCAGAAAUCCAAAACUUGUAGAAGCACAGAUCAGGCCAGGUGCUGUGGCUGACGCCUGUAAUCCCAGCAUUUUGGGAGGCUGAGGCAGGCAGAUCACCUGUGGUCAGGAGUUCAAGACCAGCCUGGCCAACAUGGUGAAACCCUGUCUCUACUAAAAAUACAAAACUUAGCCGGGCGUGGUGGCGGGCGCCUGUAAUCCUAGCUAUUUGGGAGGCUGAGGCAGGAGAAUCGCUUGAACCCGGGAGGCGGAGAUUGCAGUGAGCCAAGAUUGCGCCACUGCAUUCCAGCCUGGGCAACAGAGCAAGACUCCGUCUCAAAAAAAAAAAAAAAAAAAAAAAGAAGGAGAAACACAAAUAAGUACAUUUCAUCUUAUAUCUACAGUCAUACAUUCACAAAGUUCUUCCUCUUUUCUCAAAGCCAGGUGCUCAGGCUGAGAAGAUUCAAGGAAAGGGUUCCUCACGUAGUUAUACAGUUGUGUUCCAGGGGAAGGAAAAUAUUGUUCGGUUUUGUUCUGCAAUUCCCCACGGUGGUUUUCGGUAAGACUUGAGACUUCCUUAUUCUAAAGUCCAAGCAGCAGUGGAAACAUUUCAAGAUCCCUUUUUGCAAUAUAACUUUUCCAAAGAUUCAAUAUUUAUUUAAACCCAAAAAUCUUGUCACUCGAAGUAAAACGAUUUUCUCCAGGGCCUGAAGAUCCUUGUUCAACUAGUUCAUGUGAUGAAAAUGUCUGUUAAGUAGGUGAUAUGGUUUGGAUGUUUGUUCCCUCCAAAUCUCAUGCUGAAAUUUGAUUCCCAGUGUCGUAGAUGGGACCUCGUGGGAGGUGAUUGGAUCAUGGGGGCAGAAUUCUCAUGAAUGGCUUAGCACCAUCCCCUUGGUGAUAAGUGAGUUUUCACUCAGUUCACUUGAGAUGUGGUUGUUUUAAGAGUCUGUGACCUCUUCUAUUUCUCUCUUGCUCCCACUCUUGCCAUGUGACAUGCUGGCUCCCCAUCACCUUCCGCCAUGAUUGUAAGCUUCUAGAGACCUCACCAGAAACUGAUGCCAGCACCAUGCUUCCUGUAAAGCCUCCAGAACCAUAAGCCAAUUAAACCUCUUUCUUUAUAAAUUACCUAGCCUUGGGCAUUUCUUUACAGCAAUGCAAAAAAAAACAAAAAUGCUGGUUUCCACAGCCAUUCUUUAUCUUCAAAGAAUUUGGUAAAAUCUGGGCUACUGUUUUCUUGAAUGUAUUUCUGUGAUUCACUUUCUAGGUCAAGCGUCCUGUUAAGGAGCAGAAUCUGUAUUACCUUCUCUCACUCCAAUCCGUAGUGUCAAUAAACAUUAUUUUGUGUAAUUUCUGUAGGUCAGAAAUUAAGGAGCAGCUUAGCUGGAUGAUUUUGACCCAGGGUCUCUCAUAAGGUUGCAGUCAAGGUAUCACCUGGGGCUGCAGUCCACUGAAGACUUGACUAGGGCUGGAGGAUCCUUUUCUGAGGGAGCUCACUGACAUGCCUAGCAAGCUGAUGCUGCCUACUGCCAGCCCCAGUUCCUUGCCAUACAGACCUCUUUACAGGGUGCUUGAGUACUGACAUGACAUGCCAGCUGGAUUCCCCCAAAAUGAUCUGCUAAGCCAUAAGAUUUACGCAUGUGGAAGGAGAUUUAUAUGGGCCUUGUCCAGGUUUUCACAUAGUUUAAAAAAAAAAAUUUUUAGAAGUGAAUUGCAUUAUGUUUGAUAAGUCAUCUUCAUAGCAUCAUCUAGAACUUUUUUCAUUUCUGCUCCAAAACUUUCUGACAUCAGCACUCUCUGGGAAGAAAGCAAUGAGUUGUGAAUAUGUCAGGAUUUUAAUGAGAAUUGAAAUCUCUGAGGGAACCAAUCGUUGAUAGGGUACCAUAAAUAGAUACUGACACAGUUCUUCCAAGAGGUACCUUCUUUUUCCAAUAUGAAGACAGUAAAUAUAUCUUUACCUUUGCUUCUUUGCAGCAGUGUUUAAUAGAAGAAAAAUUUUCUUGAAUUUUGCCGUAAUUUAUAAAUCUUGCAAAUGCUACUUUAUGACAUUUGUUGUUGAAAUCUGAUGAUUCAUCAACCUGGAUGAGAAGUUGUUAGGUUCUUUUGAUGCUAUGCAGCAUUAUGUGACAUGUCAUCAAUCACAUCAAUUUAUCAAACUUUGAAAGUGAAACCGUUUUAGUUUCUCAUUACAUCAUAUGCUGGCGUCUGACUCUCUGUAAUUAUACAUGCUGAAAUUGUGAGGUCCCAUCAAUUGUGGGGCUCUUUCCUUUUCUAGUCAAAAGGUUCUUCUGCUAAAUAACUUGCUUUCUGGGCCUUUUUACUGAAGGUGACUUAAAAAAAUAAAUACAUUCUUUACUCUGGGUUUCCAAAGGCCAUAUAAAAUUAUCUGCUCCUUUACUAUGGUUUGCAGUUAAGUGUCUUUUCAAUUUUGCUGGAGCCAUUGCUUCAUUUAUAAGUUGUGAUUCUUCAUUACUAACUUUAUCAGAAUUAUUAAGACUUAGAAUUCUCUUCCAUCUCCCAGUUCAUCUUCAAAAAUCACCACAUUGGACUAUAAGUCAUGUUUGUAAAACACAGAUGCUAAUCAAGUAUAAAACAAGCAAACUAAACAAGGAAAUUUUUUUAAAAAAUGAUAUCUUCAAAUGCAAUUCACUUUUAACCUGCAAGCUCCAUGUGUCAGGCCUCUGAGCCCAAGCCUGCGUGUAUACAUCCAGAUGGCCUGAGUCAACUGAAAACUACAAAGGAAGAGAAACAGCCUGCUCCUGUCUUAACUGAUUGACCAACCUUAAGACAUUCCAUUAUGACCUGUUCCUUCCCUGCCCAACUGAUUGAUUGAUCGACCUCGUGACAUUCUUCUUCUGGACCAUGGGUCUUAUGAUCUCCCCACCAUGCACCUUGUGACCCCCUCCUCUGCUGACAAUAGAUAGCCACCUUUAACUGUAACUUUCCACUGCUUAUCCCAGUCCUAUAAAACUGCCCCACCCCACCUCCCUUUGCCGACUCUUUUCAGACUCAGCCCACUUGCUCCCACAUGAAAUAAACAGCCUUGUUGCUCACACAAAGCCUGUUGGUGGACUCUUCACAUGAACACGGACGAGCGUGACACCGUGUUUUACAACGUUUACAACAUUAGCAAAGCAACAGGGAGGCAUUUGAGUUAUGGGGCAUUAAAAUUGCUUCCUUAAAAUGUUGUCUUUGAUUGUCUAUUACAUCAGGAGAGCUCGUUACCUGUCAGUUGACUGAAUAAAGGGAGGCCAGGGGAGAUUAGGAAAUGUAAAUCAGGAAGGAGAGGCUGAUGUCAUCAACCUAUUGUCUCUCCCUCUCCCUCAACCUGUUGUCCCUCCUUAAUUCAGCACCCACCAAUCAUCAACAGCACCCCCUGUUUGCAUCAAAAGCUGAGAAUGGACUCAAUGAAAUGAACAUAGUUGUGUGGAGCACUGUCAUGUUUGUGAAUGACCUCUAGCGAAAUUCCUAACAGAGUUGUUUGAUCACUAGUCAUUUACUACAAGUGUUGGCAUUACAUGGAGAAAGAAGUUCAAAAGAAUGCCAAAAAAAAAAAAAAAUUCCAAUCUCUUCUGGAAUCCCUAGUAACCGCUCCUAGACCC
rnacentral:lncRNA from 1 species